GGGGCGGUGGCGAAAUGGCAGACGCUGCGGACUUAAAAUCCGCUGGACAGUAAUGUCCGUGCGGGUUCGACUCCCGCCCGCCCUACCA
rnacentral:tRNA from 1 species